rnacentral:rRNA from 1 species
AGAGAUGUGUGAUGACGCAUAUCAAUAAGCGGAGGAAAAGAAACUAACAAGGAUUCCCUUAGUAACGGCGAGUGAAGCGGGAAGAGCUCAAAUUUGAAAUCUUCAAGGUUCUACCUUGACGAAUUGUAGUUUAUAGAAGUGUUUUCUGUUAGUAGAGUGGCAAAAGUUCUUUGAAAUAGGACAUCAUAGAGGGUGAGAAUCCCGUAUUUGGUCAUUCUUUCUAGCUUUGUGAUACACUUUCAACGAGUCGGAUUGUUUGGGAAUGCAGUCCAAAAUGGGUGGUAAAUUUCAUCUAAAGCUAAAUAUUGGCGAGAGACCGAUAGCGAACAAGUACCGUGAGGGAAAGAUGAAAAGAACUUUGAAAAGAGAGUUAAACAGUACGUGAAAUUGUCAAAAGGGAAGCGUUUGACACCAGUGUUGUUUUCUCGAAAAUCAAUUAAAAAUGACUGGAUUUUGUGUUGUAUUGACUUUAUCAGCUUUCUGCACUUUUUUCCUGUCUUUUUUAAUGCACUUUUCGUUUAACAAGUCAACAUCAAUUUCUUUUGUUGUAAAAGAGUCAUUGGAAGGUGGCUUUCUUUUCGGAGAAAGUGUUUAUAGCCUUGUACCUCUGCAAUCGGAGAGAUUGAGGUCUGCAGCGUAGAUCCUUCGGGGUUAGAUACAUUUGUGCUAAGUUAUAGUUUUUCAUAGACAACAUGUUGACUAUGAUUAAGUCAUUGUAGCUUACUCGCUUUGGCUAUUUUACCUACGCUUAGGAUGUUGAGUCGUAGAGCACGCAG